rnacentral:snRNA from 1 species
AGACUUACUUGGCAGGGGAAAUACCAUGGUCCUGUAGGCAGCUUUCCUAAGGCAAAGCUCAUCAUUCCACUCCAAGUCUGCUAACCCCGAGGUUUCCCCAAACAUGGGAGACUCAACUGCAUAUUUGUGGCAGUGGGGGAACUAUGUUCCCACU